GACGAACGCUGGCGGCGUGCUUAACACAUGCAAGUCGAACGCUGAAGCUCAGCUUUUGUUGGGUGGAUGAGUGGCGAACGGGUGAGUAACACGUGAGUAACCUGCCUCCUUCUUUGGGAUAACGCCCGGAAACGGGUGCUAAUACUGGAUAUUCACUGGUCUUCGCAUGGGGGUUGGUGGAAAGGGUUUUUCUGGUGGGGGAUGGGCUCGCGGCCUAUCAGCUUGUUGGUGGGGUGAUGGCCUACCAAGGCUUUGACGGGUAGCCGGCCUGAGAGGGUGACCGGUCACAUUGGGACUGAGAUACGGCCAAGACUCCUACGGGAGGCAGCAGUGGGGAAUAUUGCACAAUGGGCGCAAGCCUGAUGCAGCGACGCCGCGUGAGGGAUGGAGGCCUUCGGGUUGUGAACCUCUUUCGCUCAUGGUCAAGCCGCAACAAUGGUUGUGGUGAGGGUAGUGGGUAAAGAAGCGCCGGCUAACUACGUG
rnacentral:rRNA from 1 species